rnacentral:lncRNA from 1 species
GAAUACCCUGCGUAGCAACCGCAGACUCACAUCUCAGUAAUCAUGUGAUCAUGGCCAAGUUCACUGACUGUCCUGAGUCUCAUUCUCUUCUUGUACCAUUCUCCUCUUUGUAACAUAUACAAAAGAUACAAAACUUACUAUCUACUUACCCAGAUGAUAUUUAGAAAUUCUAGGCCUAUGUUACUAGAAGCUACUGAGUAGUUUUGUGCCACACCACUGAGGGAAAGAAGCAGAUUUCAUUCUAUCAUUACUUUCUCAACAGCAACUCCAGGAGAAAAUUGUGCCAUGAGCCAAGCCCAUGGAAGCUUAAGGCGAACCCUGCUAACACUGAGAGGGUUUGACAGAUGUGAUUUACAGUGAUUAUUACAGACUCAGCAAGAAAUGCAGAGGGCCUCAGGGAGACAUAUUAGUAUAGUAAUUAACAGGGGCUGCUUCAACAAAACCAACCUGAACUCUCAGUGGUUUGGCCUAUUAAAAGUUCAUCGCUGUUGCUGCUGCUCCAGUAAAGUUGGACAUGAGUCAGGAGGCUGUCCUCCAUCUUGCAACCAGGAACUUGAAAAUGUGACACCCAGACCAUUGCAACAGCGGAGAGGAGUUUAGAUGGGAAAGUGACCCAUUUCCUCUCAAGUGAACCAGGAAGGCUGCACCUGCAUGUCAGGCAAGAGCCUCAGGAAUUGUGUUUGCUACUGUCUCCCAGAACUUGGCACACAGUACCAUCCUCAGACUCAGCAGCUAAGACCCUUGAACUGGCCCCAGAGGACCUGCCUUGGGCCCUUGAAGCUGUACCCUCCCUGUGGGGUAAGGAGUUCACAGGGCCAAGCCCAUCCAGAGCUACUGCCUCCCCUUCUAGACUACACCCUGGGGAACUCCAGAGCUGGGAGUUUCCUGGCCACGUGGCCCUAAAGUACUUCUAGGGCUUGUGUGAGAUUCAUCUUUUCAAGGGC